CAAUGGAUGCUAUGCUUAAAUAAGUUUAUAACACCCUCUUCCCCCUCAAAGAUUCAGAAGUCAGGGCAACCACAUCAUAUUGGGAGUCUAAUUUGUAAGUCGAUAAGAUAAAAAUCCCUUUGGUCAAAAUUAUCCUUGAAAAUCACCAGAAAUUGUAUAUAAGGUCCCCCAAUUUAUAGCUUUAUGUGUACACCCUGGUCACUAAGGUGUGAGUGUAGUUAUAAAUUACUGUUAAUGAUGAGACUAAGAAUACGGACCACUAGGAUUGCUAUUUUCUUUCCCUGGCAUCCUCAUUUAAAUUGUUAUUUUUAUUUUUCAUCUAGUGUAUAGUUUGAUUCAUAGAAUUUAAAUGCAUAUAUUAAAUUAAAAGUAGUAAUUAUUAUAGUACUAAUAAUAGUAAUAAUCAUUGACAUUUAUUGGGGGCUAGCUAUUGCCUGCCAGACUGCUCUAAGUGCUUUAUUUGCAUGAACUGAGUUAAUCUGAACAGAAACUUCAGGGCUGGACACUAUAUUCCCUUUUUACAACAAAGUCACUUGCUUCUGCUUUUACUCGUGCCUUUGGCGACACAAUGACUCUGCAAAUUGUCCUGUGCCCAGAGGAAACAUUUUUCUGAAAACUUCUGCGCUGGGGCAGAUUUAGGGCAAAGUUAACACUUCAAAAAUAUCUCCAGUAAUUGAGUAAAUUGCUCAUCUGUCAAAUUGGCUCUUUGGCAAAUUACUCUGCUUGCACAUAUUAAUAGCCAAGCUUAGCCAACUUGAAAUAUGGAGAUUUACUGGAAAUCACAGUGAAGUGAAGAGAGAGGCAAGAGCAGAAUUGAAAUUCCCACCUGGCAGCAAAAGAGAGUUAUGCAGAGCCUAUCAGGACCCGUGUUCACACCAGCACUUAGUUUGGAGGAAGCACCUGGAGGAGAUGCAGAGUCCAGAUGUGCGCCCUCUGCCGGAAGCCUACUGCACCAGGACGUAGGCCUGGAGUGGCCCUUAACGCAUUUGGAAAUCAGUCUUCACUAAAAAAACUUCCUCCAAAAUGUUCUUUAACAGCCCUUUAAAAGCCAUUGUUUCAAAACAGUCCAAGGUGGUGAACAAUUAAUAUUUUCGAUUUACAUGAAGACUCUGGAGUAGGAAUUACCUGAGUUGGAAACUCAGUUCUACUCUAUUGGUAUCAGGUUGCAUUCUGUAUCAUCAUUAAAAUUUUCAGAAAAACUCUCAA
rnacentral:lncRNA from 1 species